UGCAGUGGUUGAUCAACCUCCUUAUAUGGAGACAUGGUCUGAUGAUUAUAGCAAAAAUACUCUCACUAACCCUAGCAUUCAUAUGGAUUCAAAAGAUGUUCACUUAUCUCACAGGGAGCAAGACUUCAGUGAUUUUGACCUGCAGCACCUUAUUUUACAGAAUUUGCAAAAAGAACAAGUUCAGCCACAGAAUAAUUUAUCUACACAUUCCCUCUCACAUGGCACCAGAUUGGGCAUUGAAGAAAUUCCUUCUAAUUUUUUGAAACUGCAGUUUCAACAACAGCAGCAAUUAGAGCUUCAACAACAACAGAGAUUGGAGCUUCAACAACAG
rnacentral:misc_RNA from 1 species